rnacentral:rRNA from 1 species
GACGAACGCUGGCGGCGUGCUUAACACAUGCAAGUCGAACGGAAAGGCCCAGCUUGCUGGGUGCUCGAGUGGCGAACGGGUGAGUAACACGUGGGUGAUCUGCCCCUAACUUCGGGAUAAGCUUGGGAAACUGGGUCUAAUACCUGAUAGGGCAUUCGUUUAGUGUCGGUUGUGGAAAGUUUUUUCGGUUAGGGAUGAGCCCGCGGCCUAUGAGCUUGUUGGUGGGUUAAUGGCCUAUCAAGGCGUCGACGGGUAGCCGGCCUGAGAGGGUGGACGGCCACAAUGGGACUGAGAGACGGCCCAGACGCCUACGGGAGGCAGCAGUGGGGAGUAUUGCACAAUGGGAGCAAGCCUGAUGCAGCGACGCCGCGUGGGGGAUGACGGCCUGCGGGUUGUAAACCUCUGUCGACAGGGACGAAGCUUUGGUGACGGUACCUGUAGAAGAAGCACAGGCUAACUACGUG